rnacentral:rRNA from 1 species
UGGGGAAUAUUGGACAAUGGGCGCAAGCCUGAUCCAGCCAUGCCGCGUGCGUGAAAAAGGCCUUAGGGUUGUAAAGCGCUUUCGCUGGUGAAGAUGAUGACGGUAGCCAGAGAAGAAGCCCCGGCUAACUCCGUGCCAGCAGCCGCGGUAAUACGGAGGGGGCAAGCGUUGUUCGGAAUUACUGGGCGUAAAGGGCGCGUAGGCGGAACAUUAAGUUAGGGGUGAAAGGCCUGGGCUCAACCUGGGAACGGCCUCUAAGACUGAUGAUCUGGAGUCCGGAAGAGGAUGGCGGAAUUCCCAGUGUAGAGGUGAAAUUCGUAGAUAUUGGGAAGAACACCGGUGGCGAAGGCGGCCAUCUGGUCCGGCACUGACGCUGAGGCGCGAAAGCGUGGGGAGCAAACAGGAUUAGAUACCCUGGUAGUCCACGCCGUAAACGAUGUGUGCUAGCCGUUGGGGCACUUGGUGUCUCGGUGGCGCAGC